GGGGUUGUGGCUCAGUGGUAAAGCACUUGCUUAGCAUGUAUGAAGCACUGGGUUCGAUCCUCAGCACCA
rnacentral:tRNA from 1 species